rnacentral:lncRNA from 1 species
CACCGGGCUUCUCCUCGACGAACUGUUCUAGUCGAACGGGAAGGUCAGGCUGCGAAUCCAGCAGAUCCAGUAACUUCCUCGCCUUCGCCUCCUUCCUUAACUUCUUCGCGGUCUUCUCAAUUUCAAAAUCGUAGAGGAGGUUCGGCUUGGACGAUCUGCUCAUAAACAAAGAAAAUAAAAAAAAGAAAAAUAGAACAAAAGGAAAAGAAUUAGAUUAACACCGC